ACUGUUUGGCUUUGAUCCCAGCCCAGUAAGUAACACAUUAUGCCAAAGUAAAGUCAUGGAAAUGUGCCGCAGCGAUACGAAACAUUUAUUGGGAGAAGGUGGACCAUGCAAACCUGUUGGCACUCAAGAGAAAGAUGCAUCUGAAAGCCAGGGGCAACAUGUGCCAAACGAGCCUAAUAGAAAUGGAGCUGACAAGCAGAUAUCAACUGAAUCUGUUACGCAGUUCCUUCAAAGGAGUGAGCCAAUUCACAUACAGAUGGCAUGGGAGAGUGAUUGGAUGAAUACUGACUGCGAGUGCGUGGAGUCGUCAUUUAUGGCUAAAUCGCCAGAUGGAUGCGAGCGCACUUUGGCGUGUUACU